rnacentral:tRNA from 1 species
GCCCCUGUAGCUCAGCCUGGAUAGAGCGACUGCCUUCUAAGCAGUAGGUCGCAGGUUCAAACCCUGUCAGGGGCA